rnacentral:rRNA from 1 species
CAGUAGCCGCGGUAAUACGAGGGGGGCAAGCGUUGUUCGGAAUUAUUGGGCGUAAAGGGCGCGUAGGCGGUUUGGCAAGUUUGGUGUGAAAUCCUCGGGCUCAACUCGAAGUCUGCAUCGAAAACUGCCGGGCUUGAGUAUGGGAGAGGUGAGUGGAAUUUCCGGUGUAGUGGUGAAAUGCGUAGAUAUCGGAAGGAACACCUGUGGCGAAAGCGGCUCACUGGACCAUUACUGACGCUGAGGCGCGAAAGCUAGGGGAGCAAACAGGAUUAGAUACCCCUGUAGUCCCUGUCUCUUAUAA